rnacentral:tmRNA from 1 species
GGGGCUGACACUGGAAUCGACAGGAAAUGGAAUCGAUGGGUUAGCAUGCCGAAGCAUGAUGUCUUAGCUUCGUUAAAAAAAGACAUUAACCUUUUUUACAUGGCAAUAAUAGCUAUGCUUUAGCUGCGUAAUUCUAGGAAUUAAACAGCUUUUGUGUUACUCUCUUGACGCCAGAUAGAGUGAUGUAACACAUAAACCGACCGCUGGCUAGCUCUGCUGCUUGUUUCGACAGCUGAGUGAAAUUAAGAAACUACGCCUGGUACGUGGCCUGUUGUUGGGCUUGUACUUUGCGGAAAUCCAAUAUAACAACUAAGCAUGUAGAAGGUCCAUAGGUACUUUCGCUGGACCCGAGUUCGAAUCUCGGCAGCUCCACCA